AUUGAACGCUGGCGGAAUGCUUUACACAUGCAAGUCGAGCGGCAGCGCGGGGGCAACCCUGGCGGCGAGCGGCGAACGGGUGAGUAACAUAUCGGAACGUACCCCGUCGUGGGGGAUAACACAGCGAAAGCUGUGCUAAUACCGCAUACGACCUGAGGGUGAAAGCGGGGGAUCGCAAGACCUCGCGCGAUGGGAGCGGCCGAUAUCGGAUUAGCUUGUUGGUGAGGUAAAGGCUCACCAAGGCGACGAUCCGUAGCUGGUCUGAGAGGACGACCAGCCACACUGGAACUGAGACACGGUCCAGACUCCUACGGGAGGCAGCAGUGGGGAAUUUUGGACAAUGGGGGCAACCCUGAUCCAGCCAUUCCGCGUGAGUGAAGAAGGCCUCGGGUUGUAAAGCUCUUUCUAGCAGGAACG
rnacentral:rRNA from 1 species